rnacentral:rRNA from 1 species
CCGAGGGAACUGUGGCGUGAGGAAGUCCGGUCCCGCGAUUGGCUACGACGGCGAGGUCCUCCUGAUCGAGGCCUCCUCCGUCCCACGGCGGGUGUCAGGCCCCUGCGGGCGUCGGCCGAUCGCGGACUGUGGCUUCCGGGAGUCGGGUUGUUUUGUAUCGCAGCCCAAAGACGGGUGGUAGACCCCAUCCAAGGCUAAAUACCUGCACGAGACCGAUAGAGC